rnacentral:rRNA from 1 species
UAACAGAGGGAAACUUCUGAUAAUACUGGAUAAGUUAGUAUAUCGCAUGAUAUGCAAAUGAAAGCUACGGCACUAAAGGAGAGCUUUGCGUCCUAUUAGCUAGUUGGUAAGGUAAGAGCUUACCAAGGCGAUGAUAGGUAGCCGGCCUGAGAGGGUGGACGGCCACAAGGGGACUGAGAUACGGCCCUUACUCCUACGGGAGGCAGCAGUU